rnacentral:lncRNA from 1 species
AUCACACCCCGGUCUCUUCUCCACAAAACUCUCCUCGACGGUUUCGAGAAGGCACUCUUGAUGGAUCUCAUGCAUAUGGAAACGAUCAAUUUGAAAAUGUUGAAGCUAUCAAUGAAGCUCUGCAAAAACUAAUUGCUGUACAGGUCAAGAAAGCUCUUGAAGCUUUUGCUAGUCACUUACCUGCUGCACCACUCACACCCACUCCAAAUAACAACACUCUGGAGAAUCCUCGUUAUGGG